UACGUAGGGUGCAAGCGUUGUCCGGAAUUAUUGGGCGUAAAGAGCUCGUAGGCGGUUUGUCGCGUCUGCUGUGAAAACGCGGGGCUCAACUCCGCGCCUGCAGUGGGUACGGGCAGACUAGAGUGCAGUAGGGGAGACUGGAAUUCCUGGUGUAGCGGUGAAAUGCGCAGAUAUCAGGAGGAACACCGGUGGCGAAGGCGGGUCUCUGGGCAACAACUGACGCUGGAGGAGCGAAAGCGUGGGGAGCAAACAGG
rnacentral:rRNA from 1 species